rnacentral:rRNA from 1 species
AUAUUAAUAAGCGGAGGAAAGGAAACUAACAAGGAUUCCCCUAGUAACGGCGAGUGAAGCGGGAAGAGCUCAACUUGAAAUCGGCGUGCCAAGCGGUACGUCGAGUUGUAACCUAGAGAAGCAUCGUCAGCGAGUGACCUCGGUAUAAAUCUUUGGAACAAGGUAUCAUAGAGGGUGAGAAUCCCGUCUUUGACCGGGAGUUCGCCGCGUACGACGUGCUUUCAACGAGUCGAGUUGUUUGGGAAUGCAGCUCAAAACGGGUGGUAAAUUUCAUCUAAAGCUAAAUAUCCACGAGAGACCGAUAGCGCACAAGUA